GACGAACGAGGCGGCGUGCCUGAUACAUGCAAGUCGAGCGGACGAAUCGAAAGCUUGCUUAUGAUUCGUUAGCGGCGGACGGGUGAGUAACACGUGGGCAACCUGCCCUGUAGACGGGGAUAACACCGAGAAAUCGGUGCUAAUACCGGAUAACACGAAAAGUCGCAUGACGUUUAGUUGAAAGACGGCGCAAGUUGUCGCUACAGGAUGGGCCCGCGGCGCAUUAGGUAGUUGGUGAGGUAACGGCUCACCAAGGCGAUGAUGUGUAGCCGACCUGAGAGGGUGAUCGGCCACACCGGGACUGAGACACGGCUCAGACUCCUACGGGAGGCAGCAGUAGGGAAUCUUCCGCAAUGGAGGAAAGUCUGACGGAGCCACGCCGCGUGAGCGAAGAAGGCCUUCGGGUCGUAAAGUUCUGUUGUUAGGGAAGAACAAGUAACGCUGUAACGCGCGUCACAGUGACGGUACAUACCGAGAAAGCCCCGGCUAACUACGUGCCAGCAGCCGCGGUAAUACGUAGGUGGCGAGCGUUGUCCGGAAUUAUUGGGCGUAAAGCGCGCGCAGGCGGUUCCUUAAGUCUGAUGUGAAAUCCCCCGGCUCAACCGUGGAGGGUCAUUGGAAACUGGGGGACUUGAGUGCAGAAGAGGAGAGCGGAAUUCCAGGUGUAGCGGUGAAAUGCGUAGAGAUGUGGAGGAACACCAGUGGCGAAGGCGGCUCUCUGGUCAAAAACUGACGCUCAGGUGCGAAAGCGUGGGGAGCAAACAGG
rnacentral:rRNA from 1 species